GUGGACGACUUUGGACGACGUUGGACGACGGUGGACGACUUUGGACGACGUUGGACGACGGUGGACGACGGUGGACGACUUUGGACGACGUUGGAUGACGUUGGACGACGGUGAACGACUGUGGACGACUGUGGACGACGGUGGACGACGGUGGACGACGGUGGAUGACGGUGGACGACGGUGGAUGACGGUGGACGACGGUGGAUGACGGUGGACGACGGUGGACGACGUUGCACGAUGGUGGACGACUGGACAUCAAUGGACAUCGUUUGAUAUCGGUGCACAUGAUUGGAUGACGUUGGACGAUAUUGGACGAUGUUGGACAACGUGGGACUGCAUUGAAUCACGAUGAUCAACAUAGGAGAAUAAUAUCAAUUUCCUUUUUAUAAUUUCUUAUAUUCCAUUUAUCAGUGGACAUCAAUGACCAUUGAUUGACAUCGGUGGACAUCGUUGGAUGACGUUGGACGAUGUUGGACGAGAUUGAACGACAUUGGACGACAUUGAACGACGUCGGACGACAUUGAACGACGUUGACGAUGUUGGACGGCAUGAUAAUGAACAUACGACAUAGAUUUUAAUUUCUUUGAUAUAAUUUCUUAUAUUCAAUGUAAAUCAUAAGAUGCAUGCAUCUUAGAUUUAGGUCCUAGUAUAAUAAGUAUAAUAUAAGAUUUAGUAUUAAUAUCUAGAAUAAGUUAAUUUAUGAUUUCAUCGAUGGAUAUCGAUGGACAACGUUGGACGUCGUUGGAUCGCGAAAAUCAAUAUAGCGUACAGAUUUUAAUUUCCUUUUUCUAAUUUCUUAUAUGUGAUGUAUUAAUGGACAUCGGUGGACAUUGGUAGGUAUCGUUAGACGAAGUUGGACGAUGUUGGAUCAUGAUAAUUAUCAUACGACAUAGAUUUUAAUUUCUUUUUUUAUAUUUUCUUAUAUUUAUGUGUAACGAUGGAGAAUGCUGGAAGGCGUUGGAUCACGAUAAUCAUUUUAUUAUAAUUUGUUAUAUUUGAUGUAUCGAUGGACAAUCGAUCGACGACGUUGGACGAUGUUUGAUCACGAUAAUCAAAAUACGACAUAGAUAUUAAUUUCUUUUUUUAAAAUUUCUUAUAUUCGAUGUAACGAUGGAGAAUAUUGGACAACGUUGGAUCACGAUAAUCAAUAUACGAUAUAGCUUUUAAUAUGAUUAGACUUCUUUAUUAUAAUUUGUUAUAUUUGAUGUAUCGAUGGACAAUCGAUCGACGACGUUGGACGAUAUUUGAUCACGAUAAUCAGCAUACGACAUAGAUUUUAAUUUCUUUUUUUAAAAUUUCUUAUAUUCGAUGUAACCAUGGAGAAUGUUGAACGGCGUUGGAUCACGAUAAUUAGCGAUACGACAUAGAUUUUAAUUUCUUUAUUAUAAUUACUUGUAUUCGAUGUAUCGAUGGAAAACAAUGGACAUCGAUGGACAACGUAGGACAACGUUGUAUCACGAUAGUCAGUAUAAAAUACGGAUUUUAAUUUCUCUUUUAUAAUUUCUUAUAUUCGAUGUAACGAUGGAAAAUAUUGGACAACGUUGGAUCACAAUCAACAUACGAUAUAGCUUUCAAUAUUAUUAGGUUUCUUUAUUAUAAUUUGUUAUAUUCGAUAUAUCGAUGGACAACGAUGGACAUCGAUCGACGACGUUGGACGAUAUUUGAUCCCGAUAAUCAGCAUACGACAUAUUUUUUAAUUUCUUUAUUAUAAUUACUUGUAUUCGAUGUAUCGAUGGAAAACAAUGGACAUCGAUGAACAACGUGGGACAACGUUGGAUCACGAUGGUCAGUAUAGAAUAUGGAUUUUAAUUUCCUUUUUAUAAUUUCUUAUAUUCGAUGUAACGAUGGAGAAUAUUGGACAACGUUGGAUCACAAUAAUCAACAUACGAUAUAGCUUUCAAUAUUAUUAGGUUUCUUUAUUAUAAUUUGUUAUAUUCGAUAUAUCGAUGGACAACGGUGGACAUCGAUCGACGACGUUGGACGAUAUUUGAUCCCGAUAAUCAGCAUACGACAUAGAUUUUAAUUUCUUUUUUUAUAAUUUCUUAUAUUCGAUGUAACGAUGGACAAUUUUCGACGGCGUUGGACCACGAUAAUCAACAUAAGAUAUAGCUUUUAAAAUGAUUAGAUUUCUUUAUUGUAAUUUAUUAUAUUCGACGUAAAUCAUAAGAUGCAUGCAUCUUAGAUUUAGGUCCUAGUUUUUCGAAUAAUGUAAGAUAGAUAUAAGAUGUAAGAUAUAUGUAAGAUAAAUGUAAGAUAGAUGUAAGAUAGAUGUAAGAUUUAGUAUUAAGAUCUAGUAUAAGUUAAAUUUAAGGCUUCAUCGAUGGAUGACGUUGGACAACGAUGAAUAAUUUAUUUACCAAUUGUAUCAUAUUUUUUUUCUAUGUAAUAUAAGAUUUGAUUUGUAGAUAAUUCAUUGUAUCAUUUCAAUGUAUUAGUCAAUAAAUUAUUCAAUAAAUUCAACCUUAUGGGUCUCGAUGCUUAGUCACCUCCCCGUAGGUGAGACCCGGUAAUUGGCAUCGCUUUUCAUAUUUUUCAUUUAAAGAUAUCUUAAUUUCCAUUCGAAAAGCGAUGGCAAGCCAAGAACUACGCACACCUUCAAUCUAGUCUAAAAUGAUUGCUUUAAAUUAUUUUGAUUAAUUAACAGUGGAUUAGAUUGAAGGUACAAAUAAAGUUUUUUUUACAUUCGAUGUAUGUGACAAGAUGCGCGCAUCUUAGAUUUAAGUUUUAGUUUUAACUAUAAUAUAAGAUAUAUUUAAGAUUUAAUGUUAAGACUCAGAUUUUAAUAUUUUUAUUAUAAUUGAUUAUACUCGAUGUAAAUGAUAAGAUACAUGCAUCUUAGAUUUAGGUUCUAACUUUAAGUAUAAUGUAAAAUAGGUUUAAGAUUUAGAAAUAAGACUUAAUUUUAAUAUAUUCAUUGUAAUUUAUUAUAUUUCGAUAA